GCUUACGGCCAUCCACCCUGAACACGCCCGGAUCUCGGAAGCUAAGCAGGUCGGGCCUGGUUAGUACUUGGAUGGGAGACCGCCUGGGAAUACCAGGUGCUGUAAGCU
rnacentral:rRNA from 1 species